UUGACCUCAGAUCAGGUAGGAAUACCCGCUGAACUUAAGCAUAUCAAUAAGCGGAGGAAAAGAAACCAACAGGGAUUGCCCUAGUAACGGCGAGUGAAGCGGCAACAGCUCAAAUUUGAAAUCUGGCGCAAGCCCGAGUUGUAAUUUGUAGAGGAUGUUUCUGGCGAAGUGCCUUCCGAGUUCCCUGGAACGGGACGCCAUAGAGGGUGAGAGCCCCGUACGGUUGGAUGCCUAGCCUCUGUGAAACUCCUUCGACGAGUCGAGUAGUUUGGGAAUGCUGCUCUAAAUGGGAGGUAUACGUCUUCUAAAGCUAAAUAUAGGCCAGAGACCGAUAGCGCACAAGUAGAGUGAUCGAAAGAUGAAAAGCACUUUGAAAAGAGGGUUAAAAAGUACGUGAAAUUGUUGAAAGGGAAGCGUUUAUGACCAGACUUGGGCAGGUUGAUCAUCCGUGGUUCUCCGCGGUGCACUCUGCCUGCCCAGGCCAGCAUCAGUUCGCCCCGGGGGAUAAAGGUUUCGGGAAUGUGGCUCCUCCGGGAGUGUUAUAGCCCGUUGCGUAAUACCCUGGGGUGGACUGAGGUUCGCGCUCCGCAAGG
rnacentral:rRNA from 1 species